rnacentral:tRNA from 1 species
GGAUCCAUAGCUCAGUUGGUUAGAGCGUUCGCUUGACGUGCGAAAGGUCAGAGGUUCGAAUCCUCUUGGAUCCA